rnacentral:rRNA from 1 species
UGGGGAAUUUUGCACAAUGGAGGAAACUCUGAUGCAGCGACGCCGCGUGAGUGAUGAAGAUCUUCGGAUUGUAAAACUCUGUCCUUAGUGAAGAUAAUGACAGUAACUAAGAAGCAAGCCCUGGCUAAAUACGUGCCAGCAGCCGCGGUAAUACGUAUGGGGCAAGCGUUGUCCGGAAUUAUUGGGCGUAAAGGGUACGUAGGCGGUUUAAUAAGUCCUAAUUAAAAGGCUAUGGCUCAACCAUAGUAUGGUUAGGAAACUGUUGAACUUGAGUAGAUGAGGGGAAAGUGGAAUUCCAUGUGUAGCGGUGAAAUGCGUAGAUAUAUAGAGGAACACCAAUAGCGAAGGCAACGUUCUGGAAUCAAACUGACGCUGAGGUACGAAGGCGUGGGGAGCAAACAGG